AUUGAACGCUGGCGGCAGGCUUAACACAUGCAAGUCGAGCGGUAACAGAGAGAAGCUUGCUUCUCUGCUGACGAGCGGCGGACGGGUGAGUAAUGCCUAGGAAUCUGCCUAGCAGUGGGGGAUAACUUGCCGAAAGGUAAGCUAAUACCGCAUACGUCCUACGGGAGAAAGGAGGGGACCUUCGGGCCUUUCGCUAUUAGAUGAGCCUAGGUCGGAUUAGUUAGUUGGUGAGGUAAUGGCUCACCAAGACCGCGAUCCGUAACUGGUCUGAGGGGAUGAUCAGUCACACUGGAACUGAGACACGGUCCAGACUCCUACGGGAGGCAGCAGUGGGGAAUAUUGGACAAUGGGGGGAACCCUGAUUCAGCCAUGCCGCGUGUGUGAAGAAGGUCUUAGGAUUGUAAAGCACUUUAAGUUGGGAGGAAGAGCAGUUAACUAAUAUUUGACUGUUUUGACGUUACCGACAGAAUAAGCACCGGCUAACUUCGUGCCAGCAGCCGCCGUAA
rnacentral:rRNA from 1 species